rnacentral:misc_RNA from 1 species
UCUUUCAUGCCUGGUGAUCCUUCUAUGACUCAUAUGCCAAUGAAUGGUAGCAGUAUUGGAGAUGAGCUUCAUGAAGUGGAACUUUAGGGGAGUAAUGAAGAUGUAAAUACCAAGUUUUGUUCCUUGUGAUCAAUACAAUACUUGGGGUGGGCGUCAUCAUGCACAUCUCAAAAAGGCAAUUUGUUUGCAACAGCAUCAGGAUUCAGAAAAGAAAGUAAAAUAUGAUCUGGACAAAAUUACCCUAGUCAAUUACCUCUCCUCUUAAUUGUAAGUCGAAAUGCGGUUGGCAUAUAUUUUACUGCAAACUAAGCUUAGGGUUUAUUUUAAUGUCACAAGAGUUGCCUCCAUCUAAUGCCUGAGAAGCUGAGGUUUUUUUUUUUCUUUUUUUUUUUUCCGUUUCAACUGCAAAACGAAGGCGGCCUUCCCAGGCAUUGUUGUACAGUGCAUUUGUUCAUUUGUUGAAAACAGGAAAUGUCUCUUGAGCAUGAUAGAAGCAAGCCC